AGUAGCUGCGCCGCCGGCCGCCCCGCACUGCUCCACGUACACCAACCCUAGCAAGCCGCUGGUUGCCCGUCCCCGGAUUCCGUUCGUUCCAAGUCACUCGCUCGCUCGUUGCUCUCCUUCUUCCCGUGAUCCCGUCCCAUCCCAAGUGAGCAGGUCACGCCGUCACGGCGCGCAGGGCGCUGGACGCCGCCUCGCCAUACUGGAGUGCGUCGGCCGACCGGACGUUUGUCGCCGCCUCGCCGGAUUGCCGAAACCAGGGUGCUGGUCGCCGCCUCGCCCACUUCUUCUCGGCUCGUCACACAAGCAACAACAGAGCAAAGCAAAGAUAGUUGGCUGAGCUUACACCCUUCAGAAAAUCCGAAGGAAUGAGGCCUUCCACUCAACAUAUAAACCUACCUUUUGUUUUUCUUUAUUGCUUUUCAGUUUCUUCUGACCAUCUAAUAAUGAUGAUCCCUAGGAUUUGGCAACAUCAAUAGAUCAUCAUCAUCAUCAUGCAGCGUGUGUGCGCGAAGUUAUUUUUUACACGAGUGCUAGACUCGGACAAUAAGCCGUCGUGCUGGUGACGACAUCAGCGGCAGACAACAAAAAAUGUACAUAUAUAUUUGUAGUAUGUUCACAGUAGGUCCUCAUCGUAUUUGUGAUUCUGUUACUCUGACAUACAAACAGUUUUCUACAAAUGACCAUCUUUUUCUUGAUAUAUAUUUAUAA